GGGUAUUGUGUUUUUUGUUUGUCGUUUCAGAUCACCGUUUUGCUGUCGAUCAACGGAUACAUUUAUAGUUUUGCUUGCAGCAAAACAAAGUAACUUUUAUGUGCGACAUGUAACCACCAAUCCAUCUCAGAACCAUGUCCUGUCGACACUCUCACCAAGGACGGUUUUAUAUGAUGUAUGCGGCGUGCGGAGUGAGUGUCAAACGAUACUUCAUCUAAGCUGCUCAACGUUUUCUUCCUCUGCUGCGGUAUCGGAAUCGUAACAUCGUAAAUAUGGCCCCAGCGACCUAUUUCUAUUGUUGCGACAAGUGUCAGCACGCGUCGUACGAAUCAUCGGUGGUAUGCUGUCCGAAGAACAAAGCUGCCACAGCUGAACCCACAGCCCGAUUGCACGAUCAGCACAGUUACAGCAUAGCGUAAGGUUAACAGCAUAGCGUAAGGUACCUGGGGCUCGCGUUGAGCUAACAGCACGGCACCGUCAACGACACGAUCGGUCACCCAACGCCAUGCCCGUCGAAUGAU